UAUGAAUUAGUUUCUUAGAUUUUCUGUAUUAUCUGAUUUAUGUACUUUAAUCGCGGUCUCCCUCUGUUUUGGUUUUUCAUUUUUCCUUUUACCAUCGUUUCCAAGAUUAGUCCCAAAAAAUCCUCCAUGUCUAAGUAUAUUCAUUUCACUUUUUAACAAUAUUUUUUCCACAAUGAUGUUCUUUCUGAAAAUUCUUCAUUAGUGAUGGUCCUAUCGGUCCAAUUUAUUUGUGCGGCCUUCUGAGUAACACCACAUGAAAUUGAAAUCGGGAUUACAACUUUAAACGAAUUUGAAACCAAAAGUAAACGGGAUGAGGAAAUAGUAUAAUAAUAAUAGUACCAGGCGUGAUAAAAAAAUAACGAGAAUUUUUAUUUUUCUCAAACAAUUUGUAUUUAUUUAUCAAUACUAAUAUUAUCCCCUUCAAAAUUCUCCCCAUUAGGUGCAAUACAAAAACCACGUCGGUAACCUCAGAUAAAAUUUAUUGUACAAUGUUUUUUUUUAUUUUGUUUUCAUUCAAAAUUAAAACAAUUGGG